GUCUACAGCCAUGCCACCCUGAACAAGCCUGAUCCCACCUGAUCUCGGAAGCUAAGCAGGGUUGUGCCUGGUUAGUACUUAGAUGGGAGACCUAGGAAGACCAGGUGCUAUACGUG
rnacentral:rRNA from 1 species